rnacentral:rRNA from 1 species
UUGGAGGGCAAGUCUGGUGCCAGCAGCCGCGGUAAUUCCAGCUCCAAUAGCGUAUAUUAAAGUUGUUGCAGUUAAAAAGCUCGUAGUUGAACUUCGGGGUCUACCCAUUGGUCAGGCUUAAUUGUCUGUACUGGUGAGAUGGAUCUCUACCUUCUGAGGAACUUUCAUGCCAUUUAUUUGGUGUGGUUGGAAAUCAGGACUGUUACUUUGAAAAAAUUAGAGUGUUUAAAGCAGACUAUCGUCUGAAUACAUUAGCAUGGAAUAAUGAAAUAGGACGGACUGAUUCUAUUUCGUUGGUUUCUAGGAUCACCGUAAUGAUUAAUAGGGAUAGUUGGGGGCAUUAGUAUUCAAUUGUCAGAGGUGAAAUUCUUGGAUUUAUUGCAGACUAACUACUGCGAAAGCAUUUGCCAAGGAUGUUUUCAUUAAUCAAGAACGAAAGUUAGGGAAUCGAAGACGAUCAGAUACCGUCGUAGUCUUAACCAUAAACUAUGCCGACUAGGGAUCGGACGAAGUUAAUUUUAUAAUGACGCGUUCGGCGCCUUACGGGAAAC